rnacentral:sRNA from 1 species
UCCUCAACCAUCUUCCUCCCUCUCAUAUACUUCCUCUUCCUCUUCAUUUUCACGCAACAGCGCCGCCGUCCACCGGUCACCAACGGCCGCCAAAUUAAACUUCUAGAAUCCUUUUUCCGUCCUCUUUCCAACCCCCAAAUUAGUUUCUACAAAUUCGUAACCGAAUUUCCUCAAUUUCAGAUCUAAGAAACGGUGACCAUUGGUUUUCCGUCCAAUUUCUGGCUAAGCCCUGUCGGAAUUGGACCUCGACCCAAGAGAUCAGUGAACAAUUUCUGGGUGUCCAUAGAGUGCAAGCAAGGUGAACUUCGACGGUUGGUUAUGGCAGUUUUUUUGGUGCGUACCGUUUCGUUCCUGCCAUAUGGAGAACACGAAGUAUAUGGAAGAGUGGCUCUCUUCUCUGAGCAGCAGCUGACACCGGAUGAAAUGGAUACUGGCCUAGUUUGAUGUAAUUACUUACUAGUAGUACGGGACUGGCUAAUAUAACUUUGAGUAGCAGAGAUGGGAGUAUUAUAGAGGAUUCUAGUGCCAGUAUUGCUGGAAGGUGGUUUGUUUUCCUGCUGCCUUUGCCUUGGGAUUGACUUGGAAGGAGGCUGCUGCUACUGUCUUACUCGCAAUUCAAAAUUAUGGUUAAUUGCGUGGAGUAUUUGGGACUGGGGCGUGACAAUAGAUGCCAAAUGGUA